rnacentral:lncRNA from 1 species
CAGGCUUCCCCGUCCCUGGGAUUCUCCAGGCAAGAACACUGGAGUGGGUUGCCAUUGCCUUCUCCGACACAAGUUAGAUCAGUAUAAUCUUAAAAAUUAAAAUCAAAAAAGGUGGUGAAAUGGGAGAACUAUUGUCUAAAAAUAAUCAAAUACUCUGAUCUUUCUACAGGAAUCAAGAAAGAAAUUAAAGAUUUGAUUGAAACUGGUCCUUGGUUAGUGAAGUUGUAUUUGGCAGAUAAUGGCAUAGAUGGAAAGGGAAAAGAAGGAGAAAAUGACUUGUUGGAAUUCACUCAAAUACUAACAUGCCUGAUCAAAUACUCUGCCCACUUAGAAGAGAUUGACCUUGGAAACAAUGCCCUGGGAGAAAAGGCUGCUGUUGACCUACUUGAAGCACUGAGAGCCAGAAAGACAGGUAAACUGCCAGUUUUAAAAAUUACAGUCACUCCCCAGAUCUCUUCAGACACCUUCAGAUCUAUUUGGAAAAACAGCAAGAAAUCUAGUAUUACCCAUAAAAAGAAGAAAAAGGCUAAAAACUGAAUACGAAUGCCAUGUAUCCAUAUGGAUUCUAUCUAUUUCCAUGGACAACGAGAUGUGCCUGGAAAAAUAUUGCUUGUAACCAAGUAUCACUGUAACCAAGCCCUUUUCAAGUUCUAAAAUUUGAUAAGACUCUUUUAUGAAAGUUCAGAAUAGCGUUAGUCUUAUCAUGCUUAUCAUUUUCUAAAAUGUGGGUUUCACAAAGAGGUCUUAGUAAAAACAAGUGGAAUUCUUCUCUGGGGCUCUUGUGCAUGUGAAGCUUAUAACUUGAAGGAAGUCAUGAUCUUUAUCCAGAAAAGAAAAAAAUCUUCUUUCAUAAAUAUAUCUAUGGUUGGGAACAACAGGAAUUUGGGAAAUAAUAACCACUUUCUGAAAGACAACAUCUCUAACAACAGGGAUCUUACCCCAAAUGAGGAAACCUCCGCUUACUGCAACCUGUACCUGCAUUAGAGUUUCAGACAGCUCCAUGGGAAAUGGAAGAGGUGUCAUGGAUCGAUAUAUUGAUGAUAAAUUGGGUUUGUUAAACUGUACAUGUUGCAGGGAUAAAAAGCAUAGAUUGGGCAAUUAAAAUGAAACCAAAAUUCUCUGUGGAAACCUGCUGCUUUUCAGGUGACCUUGGGCAGGUCGGUUACCCUCACUGUGCCUCAGUUUCUCCUUACAUAAGACACAGAUAAGAAGAGCACAUAUUCAUUUGGUGAGCACUGAAUGAGGGUGACACAUGUCAAGUAUUUUAAGAUAAUACCUGUUUCAUUGUAUGUUUUCAAAAAUUAAUAUUAAUGACUGGUAUUAUUGCUGUUAGAAUUGAGUGAUUCCAGUUAUUUCACUUACAACAGCUACACAAAGAAAUAGGAAAAAAAAAAAAAGGCUUAAGAUCUCUUCAUUUAGCACUUAGAAACUGCCAUUGAUUCUAUGUAUAAUGUAACAAGUUCUGGUAUGUUCCAGGCAAAAAUCUAAUUGUGGAGGUGAGGAUGGUUAUGGUAAAUUAUGUCCUCUCUUGAGGAUCUUAGCACCUAGGAAGGAAGUCAAGAUCCUCAUACAUUAAAAGUAAACAUUAGGGCAUGAGUUGAAAUAGUCAGGGUAAGCAAGCCUAUGGAAUAGUGACAGCAACUUAACAAAUCUCCAGAACUUAUAUAUCCAAUGUGUAAGAUGUGUGAGGCUUCCUGAUAAAUUGUUUCUGCUAAAAAAAAGAAAAAUAGAACUUUUUAAAGAUUUGCCACUGACAUCCACUGGAUGGGAGUGUAAAAUCUGUGUGUUCAUUUAGGUGUAUUUUGACAAAAGAGUCGGACACGACUGAGUGACUGAACUGAACUGACCAUGUCUAUCAAAAUGAAAAACAAACAAACAAACAAAUCAUAGCCUUGACUCAGGCACGCAUACAUUUAGGGGUCUUUUGACAAUGUUUAUCAAAGUGAAAAAAAACAUAGCCUUGACUUAGGCAUGCAUACAUAUUUCCUUGCACGUGUCUGGGAGUAUAUCUAUCUAUAGAAAUAUGUAUAUAUAUAUAUAUAUGUAUAGAAAUAUGCAUAUAGAAAUAUCUAAGGAAAUAUGUAUUAAGAUGUUCACAGCAGCACUAUUAAUUAUACAUUGGAAACGACUAAAUGUCUCUCAACUGGUUCUCAGAGACAUAAAUCACAGGAAAUGUAUAUAGGGGAAUACUGUGCAGUCAUUAGGAAGAACAACGUGGAUAUGGAAGUGCUUAUGUGGAGAGAUGCGUUAGUCAUACUAUUAAACAAAAAGAGCAGCCUGGAGAAUAGUGAAUGUGAAAACUUCACAUUAAAAUGAACUGGCAUAAUAUGAGUUGGCAAUUUCAUCUCUGGGUUUACAUAUUCAAAAAAAUGGAAAGCAAGAUCACGAAGAGAUAAUUGUACACCUAUGUUCAUAAAGUGUUAGUCAUCAUAAUUAAAUGAUAGAAGCAACCCAUAUAUCCACUGAUGGAUGACUAGAUAAGCAAAAUGUGGUAAACACAUACAAUGGAAUAGUAUUCAGUUUUAAAAAGGAAGGAAAUUCUGACACACGCUACAGCAUGGAUGAACCUGGAGGACUUUAUGCUGUGUACCCCAGUUACAAAAAGACAAACACUGUAUAAUUCCAGUUAUGUGAAGUAUGUAGAUUACUCAAACUCAGAAACAGAAAGGAAAAUUGUGGGUGCCAGAGGGACAAGGGCGAAAUGCAGAGUUGUUUAAUGGGCAUGGAAUACAGUUUCAGUUUGGGAAGAUGAAAAAGUUCUAGAGAUUGGUUGAUAACAGUGUGAAUGUACUUAAUGCUUCUGAACUAUCCACACUUAAAAAUGGUUAGGAUGGGGGUUUCCCUGGUGGCUCACGGGGAAAAGAAUCCACCCACCAAUGAAAGAGCCAAUGGUUCGGUCCCUGAUCCAGGAAUAUCCCACAUGCCGUGGAGCCACUAAGCCCAUGCACCCCAACUACUGAAGCUAUGUUCUAGAGUCCAGGAGUCACGACUACUGAAGCCCUUGCGCCCGAGGGUCUGUGCUACACAGCAAGAGAAGCCCCUGCAAUGAGAAGCCCAUGCACUGCAACCAGAAUAGCCCCUGCCUGCAAUGAAGACCCAGCACAGCCAAAAAUAAAUAAAUAAAAUUUAAACCUUUAGGAUGGUAAACUCUAUGUUAUAUGUAUUUUUAAGUUUUUAAAUGAGUUGAUGUGUUACAUGUCUGCUAGUUUGUAUGUAGCAAUUUCUGAACAGUCUCUUAACAGUACUUGCUUUUUUCCCAUUGCAUACUCAAUUUACUAUUUUAAGGUUUUUAUCAUUUAGGAGCUGUCAAUUAAAAAAAAACAAC